ACAAAACGGAAGCCUAACCGUGCGCGUCGAGUGGAACGAUCCUAGCUUGCUAGGAGGCGUCGAGCGGCGGACGGGUGAGUAAUGCAUAGGAAUCUGCCCGGUAGUGGGGGAUAACCUGGGGAAACUCAGGCUAAUACCGCAUACGCCCUACGGGGGAAAGCAGGGGAUCUUCGGACCUUGCGCUAUCGGAUGAGCCUAUGUCGGAUUAGCUUGUUGGUGAGGUAAUGGCUCACCAAGGCGACGAUCCGUAGCUGGUCUGAGAGGAUGAUCAGCCACAUCGGGACUGAGACACGGCCCGAACUCCUACGGGAGGCAGCAGUGGGGAAUAUUGGACAAUGGGCGAAAGCCUGAUCCAGCCAUGCCGCGUGUGUGAAGAAGGCUUUCGGGUUGUAAAGCACUUUCAGUGAGGAAGAAAGCCUUGGGGCCAAUACCCCCAAGGGACGACAUCACUCACAGAAGAAGCACCGGCUAACUCCGUGCCAGCAGCCGCGGUAAUACGGAGGGUGCGAGCGUUAAUCGGAAUUACUGGGCGUAAAGCGCGCGUAGGUGGCUUGAUAAGCCGGUUGUGAAAGCCCCGGGCUCAACCUGGGAACGGCAUCCGGAACUGUCAGGCUAGAGUGCAGGAGAGGAAGGUAGAAUUCCCGGUGUAGCGGUGAAAUGCGUAGAGAUCGGGAGGAAUACCAGUGGCGAAGGCGGCCUUCUGGACUGACACUGACACUGAGGUGCGAAAGCGUGGGUAGCAAACAGGAUUAGAUACCCUGGUAGUCCACGCCGUAAACGAUGUCGACUAGCCGUUGGGGUCCUUGAGACCUUUGUGGCGCAGUUAACGCGAUAAGUCGACCGCCUGGGGAGUACGGCCGCAAGGUUAAAACUCAAAUGAAUUGACGGGGGCCCGCACAAGCGGUGGAGCAUGUGGUUUAAUUCGAUGCAACGCGAAGAACCUUACCUACCCUUGACAUCGUGCGAACUUGGUAGAGAUACCUUGGUGCCUUCGGGAACGCACAGACAGGUGCUGCAUGGCUGUCGUCAGCUCGUGUUGUGAAAUGUUGGGUUAAGUCCCGUAACGAGCGCAACCCUUGUCCCUAUUUGCCAGCGAUUCGGUCG
rnacentral:rRNA from 1 species